CCCUGUGCAAGGAGGACCACUGCUAUUUUCAUCACACCCUUUGUCUCUACCACCACUUUUGUAAAUCCUUCUGUUUGAACAAUGACCAAAAGCAUACUCAGUAUAGACACAACUAUCUACUUUAAAACUUUAUAAUUUAAUAAUAUGAUUUAUAAAUUAAAGUUCACUAUUGCAGGUUGGGGAAAUUAACAAAACAUUUGACAACAGAAAAUAGGAUAAAUAGGAGAACCUGUGCACAUUUGACUUCCCCCAUGUGAGGUAAUUCGAUGAUGUACCUCUAGUUUUUCAGUAUCAAGUUCCGGUUGUGAUAUCUCCAGUCCUUCACUUUUUAUAAUAUAAACAUACCUAAAAUCAUUGAAGUAUAUAAUAUCAACCCCUAAUUCUUAAGAUGAUGUACCAAUAAUGUAAGACUUUUUCAAGUAUUUCGAAGUUAUUAUAAUAGCUAGUUUUAAACUGUUAUUUACUAUGAUCAAAUUUGUGUACAAAAUAAAUUGAACAUACAGAUAAAUAUGGAACGCUUGAAUUCAACAAAUCCAGCUUUCCAAGGUCACCACUGAACUCCAUCACUGCUCCACAUUUGGAAUCUAGAACUAGAAGGAAAACAGAAUCACUGUUGACAGAACUAAUUGUUGUAAAACUGUGUAUAUUGCAAAACGAAAAACAGAGUGCGAUUCUGCGAAACAGAAAAACAGAGAAGUGGCUUUGUUUCAUGAACCCUAAAACAGUUUUGAUUUACAAACCUAAAAUCCAGGGUUCAGUUUCCUUGUUGCACGAUUCACGGAAACCCUCGAGCAAGCGUUCAUUCUCUCUUCACUCACGAUCUGUGCAAGGGCAAAGCGUGAGACUCGGACCUUCGAAGAAUCCGUUCUUCUCGGGAGGUUGUGCAGCCGAGACCUGGAGUAGUGCCGGAGAUGACUGCUGGAACGUGGGUUGUGGCCGUUUGGGGCUGUUACCUUUUUCCCUAUAUAAGCAAGGGUUUCCCUCAUUCAGAUAUUGCAUCUCUCUCACACACCUCUUCAUCUUCUUCAGACCCACUCGUUCACCAUCUUCUUCCUUUCC
rnacentral:lncRNA from 1 species